UGCAAACCCCCAUUCCGACUGCCCGCUCACUUCUUCACACUCCUGGUCAGGAGCCACUUGUGCCUGUACCGCUUCCACCUUAAUUUCCCUCUUCCUCUGCCUGGAAUCUCCCUCCUUGGGCUCAGCUCGUUUUCCCUAAGCUACCCCAGGAGCCUGUGCUAUGAACUCCCAGAGAGCAUCACCAGCAUUCCUCAGCACUCAGAACCUUCUCCUUCACAUCGUAGCUAUCCCGUCCAUAUGUGGCAUCACCACAGAGGAAAGUGCGCAUUUAAACAUUUUCCAUCUUACAGAUGAAGAGGGUUCCAGAGAAAUCAAACAUCUGUGAAGGUGCACAGUUGCCAGAUAGAAGAACCAGCCAGACCCGAUGCUUGCGUGUCCACCAUCUCUGUGUGUCCUGACGUGCCCUCACCACUCCGAGAGACCAUUUUCUGGAGAGAACAACACAUCAGCACUGAAAAUUGACCCUGCAUGUGAAGGAUGGUCUGCUAUCGGCUUACAAGAGGUAUUCUCCAGAUUCUUCAUGCUCUGGGUCCAAAAGAACCACCUCUUGCAAUAGGAAACAGUCACCCAAUGUCUAAGCAUCGAAUGGAGUAGCAGGAGGCAGGAACAACCCAGAAACAUGAGGAAAAAAAGACUUUGUGAGAAACAAGAUCUGCACUGAAAAUAUACCAGCUAGACUGUUGAAAAAUAUACAUGCUGCACUGGGCUACAAACAGGAGACACACAGUGUUGUAAAAGGCAUGCCUCAGAAUGGUUAGCCAACUCAUCGACACCCACUGAGCAAGAAUUUGGGGGAAAGUACUAUCCAGGACUGGUUGCUUCUCCUGGAAGCCAAGCUUUCUCUGGCCUCUGAGUUCAUCCUGCAAUGGUAAGCACAAGAUAGUCGAAACAAAGGAUUCUAAAACCUCUGCAAUACACCAAGAAUCUAGGACCCAAGAAAGAAAUU